CCUACGGGAGGCAGCAGUGGGGAAUAUUGGGCAAUGGGCGCAAGCCUGACCCAGCGACGCCGCGUGAGGGAUGAAGGCCUUCGGGUUGUAAACCUCUUUCAGUAGGGAAGAAGCGAAAGUGACGGUACCUAAAGAAGAAGCACCGGCUAACUAUGUGCCAGCAGCCGCGGUAAUACAUAGGGUGCAAGCGUUGUCCGGAAUUAUUGGGCGUAAAGAGCUCGUAGGUCGUUUGCCGCGUCGAUUGUGAAAAUCUGAGGCUCAACCUCAGACCUGCAGUCGAUACGGGCAAACUAGAGUGUGGUAGGGGAGACUGGAAUUCCUGGUGUAGCGGUGGAAUGCGCAGAUAUCAGGAGGAACACCAAUGGCGAAGGCAGGUCUCUGGGCCAUAACUGACACUGAGGAGCGAAAGCGCGGGGAGCGAACAGGAUUAGAUACCCUGGUAGUCCGCGCCGUAAACGGUGGGCACUAGUUGUGGGAACCUUCCACGGUUUCCGCGACGCAGCAAACGCAUUAAGUGCCCCGCCUGGGGAGUACGAUCGCAAGAUUAAAACUCAAAGGAAUUGACGG
rnacentral:rRNA from 1 species